rnacentral:rRNA from 1 species
GACGAACGCUGGCGGCGUGCUUAACACAUGCAAGUCGAACGGAAAGGCCCUGCUUUUGUGGGGUGCUCGAGUGGCGAACGGGUGUGUAACACGUGAGUAACCUGCCCUUGACUUUGGGAUAACUUCAGGAAACUGGGGCUAAUACCGGAUAGGAGCUCCUGCGGCAUGGUGGGGGUUGGAAAGUUUCGGCGGUUGGGGAUGGACUCGCGGCUUAUCAGCUUGUUGGUGGGGUAGUGGCUUACCACGGCUUUGACGGGUAGCCGGCCUGAGAGGGUGACCGGCCACAUUGGGACUGAGAUACGGCCCAGACUCCUACGGGAGGCAGCAGUGGGGGUUAUUGCACAAUGGGCGGAAGCCUGAUGCAGCAACGCCGCGUGCGGGAUGACGGCCUUCGGGGUGUAAACCGCUUUCGCCUGCGACGAAGAGUGAGUGACGGUAAUGGGUAAAGAAGCAACGGCUAACUACGUG